rnacentral:tRNA from 1 species
UGCCUCGUGGUGUAACGGCAGCACGCUUGGUUUUGGUCCAAGAAAUUGGGGUUCGAAUCCCUGCGAGGCAA